GUGGGGAAUCUUGCGCAAUGGGCGAAAGCCUGAUCCAGCCAUGCCGCGUGUGUGAAGAAGGUCUUCGGAUUGUAAAGCACUUUAAGUUGGGAGGAAGGGCAUUAACCUAAUACGUUAGUGUUUUGACGUUACCGACAGAAUAAGCACCGGCUAACUUCGUGCCAGCAGCCGCGGUAAUACGAAGGGUGCAAGCGUUAAUCGGAAUUACUGGGCGUAAAGCGCGCGUAGGUGGUUCGUUAAGUUGGAUGUGAAAGCCCCGGGCUCAACCUGGGAACUGCAUCCAAAACUGGCGAGCUAGAGUACGGUAGAGGGUGGUGGAAUUUCCUGUGUAGCGGUGAAAUGCGUAGAUAUAGGAAGGAACACCAGUGGCGAAGGCGACCACCUGGACUGAUACUGACACUGAGGUGCGAAAGCGUGGGGAGCAAACAGGAUUAGAAACCCAGGUAGUCC
rnacentral:rRNA from 1 species